CCAUAGGUUAAUGAGGCGAACCGGGGGAACUGAAACAUCUAAGUACCCCGAGGAAAAGAAAUCAACCGAGAUUCCCCCAGUAGCGGCGAGCGAACGGGGAGGAGCCCAGAGCCUGAAUCAGCAUGUGUGUUAGUGGAAGCGUCUGGAAAGGCGCGCGAUACAGGGUGACAGCCCCGUACACAAAAGCGCAUGUGCUGUGAGCUCGAUGAGUAGGGCGGGACACGUGGUAUCCUGUCUGAAUAUGGGGGGACCAUCCUCCAAGGCUAAAUACUCCUGACUGACCGAUAGUGAACCAGUACCGUGAGGGAAAGGCGAAAAGAACCCCGGCGAGGGGAGUGAAAAAGAACCUGAAACCGU
rnacentral:rRNA from 1 species